UGAGCGGUUGCCAAACAGGUAAGGCACGGGAUUUUGGUCCCCGUAAUUGCCGGUUCGAGUCCGGCCCGCUCAG
rnacentral:tRNA from 1 species